UUUGAAAUCUGGCCCCUAGGGUCCGAGUUGUAAUUUGUAGAGGAUGCUUUUGGUGAGGUGCCGCCCGAGUUCCCUGGAACGGGACGCCGCAGAGGGUGAGAGCCCCGUCUGGCUGGCCACCGAGCCUCUGUAAAGCUCCUUCGACGAGUCGAGUAGUUUGGGAAUGCUGCUCAAAAUGGGAGGUAUAUGUCUUCUAAAGCUAAAUAUUGGCCAGAGACCGAUAGCGCACAAGUAGAGUGAUCGAAAGAUGAAAAGCACCUUGAAAAGAGGGUUAAACAGUACGUGAAAUUGUUGAAAGGGAAGCGCUUGUGACCAGACUUGGGCGCGGCGAAUCAUCCGGGGUUCUCUCCGGUGCACUUCGCCGCGUUCAGGCCAGCAUCAGUUCGGCGCGGGGGAAAAAGGCUUCGGGAACGUGGCUGCUCCGGCAGUGUUAUAGCCCGUUGCAUAAUACCCUGCGCUGGACUGAGGACCGCGCAUCUGCAAGGAUGCUGGCGUAAUGGUCACCAGCGACCCGUCUUGAAACACGGACCAAGGAGUCGUCUUCGUAUGCGAGUGUUCGGGUGUCAAACCCCUACGCGUAAUGAAAGUGAACGCAGGUGAGAGCUUCGGCGCAUCAUCGACCGAUCCUGAUGUUCUCGGAUGGAUUUGAGUAAGAGCAUACGGGGCC
rnacentral:rRNA from 1 species